AUUGAACGCUGGCGGCGUGCUUAACACAUGCAAGUCGAGCGGUAAGGCCCUUUCGGGGGUACACGAGCGGCGAACGGGUGAGUAACACGUGGGUGACCUGCCUUUAGCUCUGGGAUAAGCCUGGGAAACUGGGUCUAAUACCGGAUAUGACUCCGCGGUGCAUGCUGUGGGGUGGAAAGCCUUGUGCGGCUGGAGAUGGGCCCGCGGCCUAUCAGCUUGUUGGUGGGGUGANGGCCUACCAAGGCGACGACGGGUAGCCGGCCUGAGAGGGCGACCGGCCACACUGGGACUGAGACACGGCCCAGACUCCUACGGGAGGCAGCAGUGGGGAAUCUUGCGCAAUGGGCGAAAGCCUGACGCAGCGACGCCGCGUGAGGGAUGACGGCCUGGUUGUAA
rnacentral:rRNA from 1 species